UAAUCGAUCUUAAACUCUCCACGCAAAGAAAAAAAGACAAAAUAACACACAAUCAAAACCCACGAAUCCACGAUCAUGCGGUUCAUCUCAUCUCUCCAAAUAUUUCUCCAGAAUGCUAAAUUUAACUUUUCAUUCCCAGUUCCCCCAAUCGAAAAUUUUAAAGGUUCCUUCAAUCUAAAAUCGUCGAGUUCCCUUCAAUUCGAAAUGUGUCUAAUUCAUUUGCGGUUUUGCCAGCGUCAUCUCUGGGGAUGCACUAGCAUUUUAACUGAAUGUUGAUCAUCUGGAUUUUGGUGCUUUCUGCUAGAAUAGCAAGACCUGUUUUUCUUGCUGAAGGAAGUUGACAAACGCCAAAACGUGAGAAUGAAUUAAAUGAUGCACUAAAGAUCGAAUUGUGAGGAUGAAAAUGGUUGUUCAAAGGAUGGAGUUGAAACAAGUUCAACUGGUGGUCAUGCCUGCUGAUAAAUUAGUUGAACGACUGAAACACUACAUCAAUGUCAGAGCACGGAGGGGUUAAGUUUGAUAGAGAGGUACAAGCAGUAACUACUUUCUCAAAUCAGGAUUAAAAGGAGAGACAUUGACGGAUUCCUCAACAAAGACACUUGAAUUUAGCAAGCUUUCCAGUUAAGUAAAGAUCGAUUGAACAUCCUGGUAGAAACUCCUUAAUAGAGCAGAAACUCGAGAGUUGAGUAGGUCUUGUUCAGGUUCAAUGAAAGUCAUGUGCGUCUCAUUUCUCUGUCUUCGAUUUAGUGUUGCUUGGGGACAAGCAACAGUCUAGCUUGGGGGAAUUUGAUGAAUCAUAUUUGUAUAGGGUAUUUUUGGUGCAUUUAGGUUGCACUUCUAGGCAUUCGUCUCAUUUUAGUUGCAUUUAGAGACUCAUUUGCAUAAGUUGUCGUUAUUGUACUCUAUUACGCCCCAAUCGUGUUUUCUUUAAUAUUUCAGGUGAUUUUAUGGCCAUUUGGAUGCUUUCGGAGUGUUCAAAGUUGAUUUGGAUGAUGAACGAAUGAAAUGUUGACUCGAGGGUCAUUACAUGUCUCUCGGGAUAACUUUUGAGUCAACAACGAAGAUAAACGUUAUUUUUCUAAGCAUUAAAACAGACAAGCAUUCACUCUUUUGAUGAUAUCUCAAGUUCUACUGAUCGGAAUAAGGCGAUUUGGAUUGGGCUAGAAAGUAGACUUAAAGAGCUUUCCAACGAUAGGUCACACGUCCCUAGAGGCAUUGUAGAACGAGAGUUAUGACAUAAACAAAACGCUGAAACAUCCAGGGAGGGAUGGCUCGACAGCCAGCGAGGGAUGCUUCUCGGGCCAGCGAGGGAUCUCUCGCCCAACGAGGGAUCUCUCGCCCAACGAGAGAUCUCACGCCUUUGCACCAAGCCUUGCUACUCGAUGCCUGCUUUUUGCUUUGUCUUGCUAUAUACUUCACUAGGCCAGCGAGGGAUGGUGCGCGAGAUCCCUCGCUGCCUCGUUGCUUCGCUUUGCUUCAUUUCACUAGGCCAGCGAGGGAUGGCUCGCUAGCUCCCUCUCUGCCUCGCCCUUGCUACAGCUUCGUGCAUUUCUAUACUUCACUGGGCCAGCGAGGGAUGGCUCGCGAGAUCCCUCGCUGCCCAUGCCCCCCAGCUCUCUUGCCGUGUGCGUGGCUUAGACGUUUCGGUCGUGCUCGGGUUUCAUUGCCACGUCAUCGUUCCAUCAACCAAUCAUUGACGACUUCUAUUUUUUUUUCUUAUUUAUUUAUUUAUUUUAUUUUAAAAAAUAGGAGCAUAUAAAUACUCAAGGGAAUCAAUUUAUUUCCCUCAUAUUAUUUUUUUCCUUAGAAUUCUUUUGAACGCUUAGUUUUAUUUUUCCCUCUUCACAUUAUUUAGCCCUAGUACAUUCCAUUCGAUUGAUCAAUAUA